GUGGCUGCUCUUGAACUGUUAGGGUUGCAUCAGAGGCGCUUGGGCAACUAUCAGGAAAUUCACUCACUCCUCCUGACUAAGCCCCUGCUCACCCACCUGUCUUGGAGAUGCCGA